AAAGCUCUUUCGGCAGGGACGAUAAUGACGGUACCUGCAGAAGCAGCUGCGGCUAACUACGUGCCAGCAGCCGCGGUAAUACGUAGGCAGCGAGCGUUGUUCGGAGUUACUGGGCGUAAAGGGUGUGUAGGCGGUUCUUUAAGUUUGGUGUGAAAUCUCCCGGCUUAACCGGGAGGGUGCGCCGAAUACUGAGGGACUAGAGUACGGGAGAGGAAAGUGGAAUUCCUGGUGUAGCGGUGAAAUGCGUAGAUAUCAGGAGGAACACCGGUGGUGUAGACGGCUUUCUGGACCGUAACUGACGCUGAGACACGAAAGCGUGGGUAGCAAACAGGAUUAGAUACCCUGGUAGUCCACGCCCUAAACGAUGCAUAUUUGGUGUGGGCAGUUCAUUCUGUCCGUGCCGGAGCUAACGCGUUAAAUAUGCCGCCUGGGGAGUACAGUCGCAAGGCUGAAACUCAAAGGAAUUGACGG
rnacentral:rRNA from 1 species